UACGUAGGGUGCAAGCGUUAAUCGGAAUUACUGGGCGUAAAGGGUGCGCAGGCGGUUCUGUAAGUCAGAUGUGAAAUCCCCGGGCUUAACCUGGGAAUUGCGUUUGAAACUACAGAGCUGGAGUGUAGCAGAGGGGGGUGGAAUUUCAUGUGUAGCAGUGAAAUGCGUAGAGAUAUGGAAGAACAUCGAUGGCGAAGGCAGCCCCCUGGGUUAACACUGACGCUCAUGCACGAAAGCGUGGGGAGCAAACAGG
rnacentral:rRNA from 1 species